AGGAGAUGUGAGAGGUACUGAUAGUUGGACCUCAUAAUGGGCUUGGCCUAUUCCCACCUCUUGGAUUUGAAGUACACGGCCUAUUUAAAUCAGUAAGGGCUGCAAUACAUAAAAGCAAACCCUAGGGUUCAUUCUCACCGCUGCAAUCUCAUCGUUGCUCAUCGUUGCUCAUCGUUGCCGAUUUCCAGGUGAUUCUGUCAUCAGAGUUUCUCUUUCAACCAUGAGAGCUAAGUGGAAGAAGAAGCGUAUGAGGAGGUUGAAGAGGAAGCGCAGAAAGAUGAGGCAGAGAUCCAAGUAGUCUACCAAUUCUCAGCGCGUCCUUUCUAGUGUUUCACUUUCGUUUAAGUUUCAAUUUCUCGAAUUUUUUUAUUUAGGCUUAUGACUCUUCUGAAACUACAUGUUUUUGCAUCUUCUCUUUAAUCAAUUGAGAUUUUCGUUAUAAUCUGUGUUAUAUUUGUUUACUUGUAACCUGAUUUUGUUUUAAGUGCUUAUAUGAUUGCAUUUUUAAUCUUUGUUA